rnacentral:rRNA from 1 species
GUGAGGAAUAUUGGUCAAUGGGCGAGAGCCUGAACCAGCCAAGUCGCGUGAAGGAAGAAGGAUCUAUGGUUCGUAAACUUCUUUUGCAGGGGAAUAAAGUGCAGGACGUGUCCUGUUUUGUAUGUACCCUGAGAAUAAGGAUCGGCUAACUCCGUGCCAGCAGCCGCGGUAAUACGGAGGAUCCGAGCGUUAUCCGGAUUUAUUGGGUUUAAAGGGUGCGUAGGUGGUUUGAUAAGUCAGCGGUGAAAGUUUGCAGCUUAACUGUAAAAAUGCCGUUGAAACUGUCGGACUUGAGUGUAAAUGAUGUAGGCAGAAUGCGUGGUGUAGCGGUGAAAUGCAUAGAUAUCACGCAGAACUCCGAUUGCGAAGGCAGCUUACUAAGCUACAACUGACACUGAAGCACGAAAGCGUGGGGAUCAAACAGGAUUAGAAACCCGGGUAGUCC